CCGAAAUCAAGUAGGGAAGCGCGCGGGCCGCGCGUCGAGAAAAGCCGCUAUCGUUCGCACCGCACCCGUACCGCAGACCGACACAGGUGGAUGGGGAGAGGAUCCCAAGGCCGGCGGAAGAAGCAUUGUCAAGGAACUCGGCAAAAUGACCCCGUAACUUCGGGAGAAGGGGUGCCCGUGGAGACACGGGCCGCAGAGAACAGGCCCAAGCAACUGUUUAGCAAAAACACAGGUCUAUGCAAAGCCGCAAGGCGACGUAUAUGGGCUGACGCCUGCCCGGUGCUGGAAGGUUACGAGGAGUGGUCAGCGCAAGCGAAGCCGCGAAUCCAAGCCCCAGUAAACGGCGGCCGUAACUAUAACGGUCCUAAGGUAGCGAAAUUCCUUGUCGGGUAAGUUCCGACCCGCACGAAAGG
rnacentral:rRNA from 1 species